UCUUUGAGCCGUAUCACCCUGCAGCCCAAGAGCUGUCCCUCACUGAAGAUGAGCAGGGCUGAGUCUGGUCAGUGUCUGGAUGGGAGACCACAUGGAAAAACUAGGAUGCUGUGUGCA
ensembl:rRNA 5S_rRNA 5S ribosomal RNA